UUCCUGCAGACACUGGACUCUGAGCCUGGCUCUCUCUAACUGUCCUACUGAUUUUAAGAUUCCUUGACUUCUCUCCAGAAACUCCAUAUUCUGCUUGGGUCACCAGAUUGGAUGUCCAUUGUUUCCAAGAACACUGGCCAUGGUGGAUUCUUCAGUGAAUGUUGUCAUUUGACUGGAAACACCCCUGAGCGGUUCAUGGUUUGAACCCUUGGCUCCCAUCUUGUGGUGCUGUCUUACAGACCCUUAGUAGGGCCUGAGGGAGGUGGUAGAUUAAUAGGGAGGGGCCUUUAAAGGCCGUCACCACAUCCUGGUUCUGCUAUAGCUCCCUCUGCUCACUGGUGAAGCACAGGACACAGGCUGAAUGCUCUGACUGCUAUGAGACGGAGCUUCUGGUCACACCUUCCUGGCUAUGGUGGCUUCAAAUUGCUUGGAAGCCAUAGGUCAAAUAAACUUUGCUUCCCCAACGAGCUCCUGUCAGGUGUAUGGUCACAGCAAUGCAAAAGCAGCUGGCACAGAGAAUGUGACACCAGGGCAGUAGGGCUGUUGCUGUGACUAAGUGUCAUAGUGCGGGUCUGCGGCCUUUGGAACUGACUUUUGGGAGGAGCUUGGAAGAGUGGGCAGAUGCAGUCUAGAGGGGCCCAGGCACCCUGGAGGCGGAGUCUGGCAGGUAACUGAUUGCACAGGGUGUUCAGAAGACCCGUGUCUGAUGGAAACACACAUGGGAAAGACUGAUGGAGAAGCUUCAGACGGAAACAGGGCUCGUUGGGGACCCAGGCUGACCUGUGCAAAACGUGUGAAUCUGGCUGGUACUGGCUCAGAGAGGGCAGAGGCGCAGAGACCCAGCAUCUUACUCCAUCCCUUGUCACUGAAGAAGGAGUGUCUACUGAAUGGCUCUCACCUUUCCCUCUGCACCUCCACACGAUACAGUCCCCAUGCUUUCAGAGCUGAGACCAGCGACACUACGGAACCGGAGACUGGGGUCUGGCAGUGAAAACAGUCUUGCAGUUACGUUGGAUCCUAGCUGCAUUAAACCUCUCGCUUACAGCAUGGCUAAUGCACUUCUCCCUCGCUCUGCUGUGCAGCACCUCGGCGGGCAGAAAACUUGGAUUUAUAAUCACCAAGGAGACAAGCUUCUGCCAUACCUAUGAGGGAUCUCCUGAUCAGGUUAAUCAAGGUGGUAAGACCCAUCCCUGACUUGGGUGGCAUCGUCCCCUAGGAUGAGGUCCUGGACUGCAUGAAAAGGAGAAAGAGCUGAGUGCCAGCAUUCUUCACCUUGUGCUUCGUGACUGUGGAUGCAAUGUGACCAGAUACUUCAUGUCCUUGUCAUCAUGGUGAACUGUUCCCUCAAACUGUGAGCCAACACAAAUUACUCCUUAAGUAGCCUUUGUCAGGUGUUUGGUUACACCUAGACAGCUAGAACAUCCGAUCUCCCUCAGAUACAGACAGGCUUCUUAACUCUUGGAGUGGGUAGAGGGGGACCCACACAUUUGUACUGGCAGCAUCCGGACAAUUUCCCCUUGAAGCGCCUCUCCUUUCAUAGAAGCGCCAAUGGAUUCACUGAAGCCCCUCACACCUGCCACCUGUGAGUCCUUCCUCACUUCUGAGUACCCUAUUCCUGGCCGCCAGUGUGUGUCCACGCCUGCCACCCGUGCAGUGACCACCCACCUCGUGUUCUUCCCAACCAUGAUGUACAGUACCUUCGAACUGUGGCACAAAAUGGACUCUUCCUUCCUUAAGGAGAUCUGUCAUAGCAACAAGCAAAAGAACGAAUCCAGAGAGGUUCUGGAAAUUCCAGCAGUGGUGAUUGCCUGGAAGGCAGGAUGCUGGUCUCAUUUCCAUUGUCCCCUUCUCUCUGCUUCCUACCAAUCAUGAUCCAAAGAAACUUCUCUGUGCCACAUUCUUAGUGACUAUGGAUUUGGAGGAAGAACAUGUCAGAUAAUGACAUGAAUAUGAGAAAGGCUUGAAGGCCAGGAAUGGAUGUAUUUUGGUCAUCCCCAGUAGCCUGGAGGAGUUGUUAGGUGGGAGAGACAUCAAGAGAGGGAGACAGGGUACAUCAGGGUGCCUCGUGUCCCACAUAGGUUUGGGUCACUUCCCUUUUGAAAUGGGAAGCAGAAGCACAGGAGAACAAUAGAACUGAACUAAUACUUUAGAAACAGCAGCAGUGACUGGGGGUGAUGGGAGACACGACUGGGAGAUAGGGCUAUAAGAGAUGGAGCACACAUAAAGAACAUGAGAACUGUGGAGAGUGUAACCAGGAAGGAGGUUAAUGCUUGGGUGACUACACAACGGUAUGACCAAGAGGAAGAGAGAUAUGAGACAGGGAGGAGGCUUGGAGAAGGUCCUCAGAUCUGAACUUUGCUAGGCUGCAAGCAAGGUGCCUCAGACCCUCCAUGGGCCGGUGGAGACACACUGGGAGACGCAGAACUCAGGGUGGUCCUCUAUAUAAGAAAGCUAAGAGUAUGUAGACCCCAGAUACACCAAGAGUUUCACAGGCAGGGAGAAGGACUGAGAACGACACCAAGCCUUGUCCAGUGGGAAGAAAAGCAGGUCCUCUCAGAACCCAUAUUGCAGUUCUUACUACUUGACAGGCUGCUACCUGAGGAGACACUGCAGCCCCAAACAGUCCAAGUGCCUUACAGAGCCUGUCACAAUUCCUCUUCAUCAACGCCACAUUAGCAAGAGCUCUGGUUGUAGGGUUAGGAAGAUGAAUGAGUACUCAGUUCUCUCCUGAAAAUCAGGAGAACUCACUCCAGGCAUUGAGGCACAGCAGCUCAGCAGAUGGCCCUUUAUAAAUGAUUUCCUCCUAUUCCUGAGACCACAGGAUAAAAAGUCUGUAGAACUUUGCUUGGGUUUCCAUGCCACUGCUUACCUAUGCUCAGUAAUUUUCCACCCCAGGUCCCUCCUGGACAGGAUUAUCUCUUGCUGCCCUAGUAUUCCCACUUACUUCUCCUUGGGCAAGCUGCCCUAGUAUGCUGUUUACCCCCUUCUUGGCCCUGCUGUGUCUUACUGCAUAAGGAGGGGCAGAAUUUUCUCUGCUCUCUGAGUUAGGUUUGCUAUGGUUGGAUCUCCACCUCAUUUUUCUUCAAAAAUGUUCCUGGAUACAUAUGAGAGUGGCGGUUUGAAUGAGACAGCCCCGUAAACUCACACAUUUGAAUACUUGGUCUCCUGUUGGUGGAACUAUUUGGGAAGGAUUAGGAGGUGUGUCCCUGUGGGGAGGACUUGGAAGUUUCAAAAGACUGAAGCCAUUCCCAGUGUUCCCUCUCUGUCUCCUGCUUGCAGAUUAAGACAUGAGCUCCCAGAUAUUCCUGCCACCAUGGACACUAACCCUUUAAAACUGUAAGCCCAAUUAAAAUUUUUCUUUUAUAAUUUGCCUUUGCUGUAAUUGUUUUUGCAUCAAAAGAAAAGUAAUUACUAGCACCCAUCCCUAGCACCAACUUCUGUCUUGCUUAUGGUUUCUAUUGCUGUGAACAAACAGCAUGGCCAAGGCAUCUUACAGGAGGAAGAGAGCUUAUGUUGGCAGCAGACAUGCAGGCAUGGUGUUGGAGCACCAGUUGAGUGUUUACACCCUGAUUCACACCAACAGGGAGUGGAGAUCACACUGUGAAUGGCUCCAGACUUUAGAACCUCAAAGCCCACCCUCAGUGACACACCUCCCUCAGCAAAGCCAUGCCUUCCUAAUCCUCACCAAGCAGCUCCGCCAACAGCAAACUAAGUAUUUAAACAUAUGAGUCUAUGUUAGCCAUUUUCACUCAAAUUACCACAAUGGGAUUGGGAGACAGGGGUCUGAUACAGACCAGACUGAUUUUGGGUGCAUGUGCAGUAUGAUGAGCUGUGUCCUCUGAGUGAAUUUUUAGAGAGAAUAACCUAAUACCAUUUCGUGCCCGUGCAUAAAUGGGUAUGUGUAAUGUGUAUUCUUUCCCGCCAGCCUGGUCGCAGAACUGCGUCAGUCCCAAAUGAACAUACAGGACGCUAUAUUAAUUAUGAUGCUGUUG